rnacentral:rRNA from 1 species
GAGUUUGAUCGUGGCUCAGAAUGAACGCUGGCGGCGUGCUUUACACAUGCAAGUCGAGCGAGGCGUGUAGCAAUACACAGUCGAGCGGCGAACGGGUGAGUAACGCGUGGAUGACCUGCCCUCGAGUGGGGAAUAACCCGGGGAAACUCGGGCUAAUACCGCAUACGACCGAGAGGUGAAAGAGAGCUCGCAAGGGCCCUCGUUCGAGGAGGGGUCCGCGUUCGAUUAGCUAGUUGGUAGGGCAAUGGCCUACCAAGGCGACGAUCGAUAGCCGGCCUGAGAGGGUGAUCGGCCACACUGGAACUGAGACACGGUCCAGACUCCUACGGGAGGCAGCAGUGGGGAAUUUUGCGCAAUGGGCGAAAGCCUGACGCAGCAACGCCGCGUGGAGGAUGAAGGUCUUUGGAUUGUAAACUCCUGUCAGCAGGGAAAAAGCGACUUACGUGAAUAGCGUAGGGAGUUGAUUGUACCUGCAGAGGAAGCCCCGGCUAACUCUGUGCCAGCCGCCGCAGUAA